rnacentral:rRNA from 1 species
GAUGAACGCUGGCGGCGUGCCUAAUACAUGCAAGUAGAACGCUGAAGGAGGAGCUUGCUCUUCUGGAUGAGUUGCGAACGGGUGAGUAACGCGUAGGUAACCUGCCUGGUAGCGGGGGAUAACUAUUGGAAACGAUAGCUAAUACCGCAUGACAACAGUUAUUGCAUGAUAACUGUUUAAAAGGGGCAACUGCUCCACUACCAGAUGGACCUGCGUUGUAUUAGCUAGUUGGUGAGGUAACGGCUCACCAAGGCGACGAUACAUAGCCGACCUGAGAGGGUGAUCGGCCACACUGGGACUGAGACACGGCCCAGACUCCUACGGGAGGCAGCAGUAGGGAAUCUUCGGCAAUGGACGGAAGUCUGACCAAGCAACGCCGCGGGAGUGAAGAAGGUUUUCGGAUCGUAAAGCUCUGUUGUAAGAGAAGAACGAGUGUGAGAGUGGAAAGUUCACACUGUGACGGUAGCUUACCAGAAAGGGACGGCUAACUACGUG